UGAUUUAUCCUAGAAGAAGAGAGGAAAACUUUGUAAAAAACAUUUUCUUCCAACGAUAUUCGCAGGAUUCUUGCUUUUCCAUAACUGUUAUUCCAUCCGGAGGAUAUUGUUGCCCCUUCGAUCGCUUAUGGAAUUUUCAGAGAAAUCGUGUUUUCCGGCUGUCUGCUCGCUCGAGCUGUCCGAGAAAAACACGCGUUUCUUUUACGACCGCCAUGUAGAAUCUUGACACUCGCCAUGUGUGAAAAUACUUUCGAGCGAGCGUAUCCUGGUGUAAACACGAACGCGAUUUACCAGAUGAUUUAUCUCAGGAAAAGAGGGAACUUUGUAAAAUAUUUUGAUGCGAUUGCAUUUGCAUCUGUAUACACUGUCUCCUUUGAGACUCAAGUCUUGUUUGCUCGAUUAAAAUUAAUGGAAUAUUUUAAAUUUCUUUCUAUUUCUAAGAUUGUACGAUAAUUUAAGG